CAACNUUCCGAAAGGAGUGCUAAUACCGGAUGUGAUCAUCGUGCCGCAUGGCAGGAUGAAGAAAGAUGGCCUCUACAAGUAAGCUAUCGCUAAAGGAUGGGCCUGCGUCUGAUUAGCUAGUUGGUAGUGUAACGGACUACCAAGGCGAUGAUCAGUAGCCGGUCUGAGAGGAUGAACGGCCACAUUGGGACUGAGACACGGCCCAAACUCCUACGGGAGGCAGCAGUGGGGAAUCUUCCGCAAUGGACGAAAGUCUGACGGAGCAACGCCGCGUGAGUGAUGAAGGAUUUCGGUCUGUAAAGCUCUGUUGUUUAUGACGAACGUGCAGUGUGUGAACAAUGCAUUGCAAUGACGGUAGUAAACGAGGAAGCCACGGCUAACUACGUGCCAGCAGCCGCGGUAAUACGUAGGUGGCGAGCGUUGUCCGGAAUUAUUGGGCGUAAAGAGCAUGUAGGCGGCUUAAUAAGUCGAGCGUGAAAAUGCGGGGCUCAACCCCGUAUGGCGCUGGAAACUGUUAGGCUUGAGUGCAGGAGAGGAAAGGGGAAUUCCCAGUGUAGCGGUGAAAUGCGUAGAUAUUGGGAGGAACACCAGUGGCGAAGGCGCCUUUCUGGACUGUGUCUGACGCUGAGAUGCGAAAGCCAGGGUAGCGAACGGGAUUAGAUACCCCGGUAGUCCUGGCCGUAAACGAUGGGUACUAGGUG
rnacentral:rRNA from 1 species